rnacentral:rRNA from 1 species
UUUCCUUCGGGGAGGCAGCAGUGGGGAAUAUUGCGCAAUGGGGGAAACCCUGACGCAGCGACGCCGCGUGUAGGAAGAAGGCCUUCGGGUCGUAAACUACUGUCAAGAGGGAAGAAACUGUUAGGGAUUAAUACGCCCUUUCACUGACGGUACCUCUAGAGGAAGCACCGGCUAACUCCGUGCCAGCAGCCGCGGUAAUACGGAGGGUGCAAGCGUUAAUCGGAAUCACUGGGCGUAAAGCGUGCGUAGGCGGCGCAUCAAGUCAGGCGUGAAAGCCCUCGGCUCAACCGAGGAAUUGCGUUUGAAACUGAUGCACUAGAGUCUCGGAGAGGUUGGCGGAAUUCCAGGUGUAGGAGUGAAAUCCGUAGAUAUCUGGAGGAACACCGGUGGCGAAGGCGGCCAACUGGACGAGUACUGACGCUGAGGUAUUGGGAGCGUGGGUAGCAAACAGGAUUAGAUACCCUGGUAGUCUUACCCUUUAACGAUGGAUAUUAGGUGUCGGGGCUAACGCUUCGGUGCCGCAAGUUAACGC